GUCCACUGAUGAGACCCCUUUCAACCUUACUUCUUGAACCUAAACACUUUUCUCUGUUCCCUUGAUUUCCACCUCUAGUGUCCAGCCUUUGAUGAUUUGGAUUCUGAUCACCUCACUGUGUAUCCUGUUUGUUGGAUCUGCACCUCCCAAGAUCCUAAUCUGGACCCCGGGCUGAUAAUUUGACCAAGACUUCCUGUUUCCUUGCUUGAUAAUUUAAUCUGGCGCUAUAAUGAAGUAGAAAAAACCUAGGCUUUGCAGUCACACAGCCUUGGGUUUCCAUCCUGACUGUACCACUAACUGUGGUCGGAUUUGGUCAGGUCUUCCAGUGCACCACCGCUGCCCCACCUCCCGCCCCCAAGACACACUCCACAGGCUGAUGCAGAGACACAGAGAGAGAGGCAGAGGGAGAAGCAGGCUCCCCGCUGAGCAGGAAGCCCGAUGCGGGACUCGAUCCCAGGACCCUGGGAUCAUGACCUGAGCCGAAGGCAGACGCUUAACCAUCUGAGCCACCCAGUGUCUUCGAAUUGGAGAGCUGUAGUAUGAACAUACUUCACAGGAGCCCACCCCAACCCGCAGUGAGAGCUCCUUGAAGGCAGGAACUGUGUCCGUUCAUUUCUGUUCUCCAGUGCCUAACACAGAGCCAAAUAUCAAGUUCAUAAAAUAAACGACUGAAUGAAAGACUGGCAGGGGGAGGGGCAGAGGGCGAGGGAGAGAGGAAGCAGACCCCCUCUGGGUGCGGAGCUGGAUGCAGGGCUCCAUCUCCUGACCCAGACAUCAUGAACGGGACAUCAGGACCCUGGAUAUCACGACCAGAGCCAAAACCAAGAGUCGGAAGCUGAACGGACUCAGCCACCCAGGCACCCCUGUUCAGGUUAUUUUUAUGGCAAGCUGAGAGCUGAAAUUUUGUGGUGGCAAAAAGUUUGGAAGUUUAAAAUAUAAUAAUAAUUCUAGAAAGACAAAAAAAUGCUUCACAAUUUUAAUAGUGAUGCAAAUUAACGGGAAAAAAAAAAGGUGAAAAAUUUGUUCUCCAGCUUUCAAAUGAGUAAAUAUAUUAUUAGUUCCAUUUUUACAGAAGAGAAAGGCGAGGCCCAAUAAAGGUAAGUGUUUGGGCUAAGUUCACCCAACUAGGAAGCAGCAGAACAAGAAAACCUCUGCUUGUAGGGAUGUGGUUUAGAGGGGAGGACUGGUAGUCCAUUUUACUACUCAGCCUACAUUCUAUCUGGUGAUUCUGAGCAGAAUGGGAGCACUUUAAACACGAACAUUGGUACACCAUGUUUAUCUCUGGUUUGAUAAGCUUGCAUAUAAUAAAAGAAGCUCCUCUAUCACAAAAAUAUAGUUCAUUUGCUCUGAAGCAUCUUUUGUAUUAACGAUUUAAGAUCUUAAUUCAUGGACUGCAAAUGAAUCAUGCCUGCAAUGACAAUGUGUUUCCACAUGUGUUUCGUAAAAUUAAAGCAUCAUUACAUCUUGUCAUCCAUGUGCGCAUUUCUAGUAACGAUCACCAAGAAUGUCUUGCUGGUGCCUUUGGGGCCCCUCCAGUUGCCCUCAAUCUUAUUUCAGCGAAGGCCUCAUUCAUCCUCUUCCUUCUCUUGGUUUAGCUAUUGCUAAAUCUUGUGAUUGUAGGUCUCAGUUUUGACUAUGAAUCUCACUUCCUUAAAGUUGCCUGCUAGUUCCCUUUCUAUGACACAUCAAAUCAAUCAUGAUAUCUACUAUUUAUUGAGUGCAUACCAUGUACCAGUCACUUUAUACCUAAUAUUUCUAAUCCAUGACGUAAACUCUGACUACUUCUGCAAUUUUAUUUUCCACUGCUCCCUAAUUGCGCUCUAUAUUCUUCAAGCUCAGAAGUUGGCAAACUAUAGCUUGUGGACUAAAUCUGGCUUGCUGCCUGUUUUUGUAUGGUUUGUGAGCUAAGGAUGGUUUUUACAUAUUUAAGUGAGUGAAAAGAACCAAAAGAUGACUAA